UGGGGGCGAAGAGCAAUGACCUCCCGCUCAGCUCUUUGCUUUGGCUGCGUGGAGCAGCCUCGAGAUGUGGGAAGUGCUCUCGGCCCCGCCCCCUCCUGGUCCGAGGCUCCGGCCACGCAGAGGCGAGGGGGGAGGCUGCGGGUGCAUCUUUGCAGAAAGAGUACUUUGGUUGCGGCGGACGCGGGGCGGGUGCUGGCCCCGCUGUCCUCUCGGCUCCCAGUCUCUGCGCGUUGCGCUUGCCCGCGGUUCCACGUCGCGCCCCGCUCUACGCGCAGCGCAGCCGAGGGCCCCCCGGCCCCCUCCCAGCGCGGGGCGGGCAGGGGGUGUGGUGCGGGCGGCACGAGUGACAGCGCGCUCCUCGCGCGGCGCCUCCACGGGGCUCAGUGUCACAGCGCCGAACGCGCUGCGCGCACAGUCCGCCGCGGGCCGCCAGCCCUGGCGAAGCGAUGUCCUCGGAACCUUAGCCUCAGUCAGAGCCAGGCCACUGACCACCCGAGUCCGCGCCCUCGUGGCCACCUCGCUGCUGUCAACGCGGAGACAAUGGACGCGGGAGCCGCCCCGCAGAAGCACAUGGAGCGAUGCAUGAGUGCCAUGCAAGAGGGGACCCAGAUGGUGAAGCUCCGUGGCAGCUCCAAGGGAUUGGUCCGCUUCUACUACCUGGAUGAGCACCGCUCCUGCCUCCGAUGGCGUCCCUCCCGCAAGAACGAGAAAGCCAAGAUUUCCAUCGACUCCAUCCAGGAGGUGAGUGAGGGCCGGCAGUCUGAAAUCUUCCAGCGCUACCCGGACAGCAGCUUUGACCCCAACUGCUGCUUCAGCAUCUACCAUGGCAGCCACAGAGAGUCGCUGGACUUGGUCUCACCCAGCAGUGAAGAGGCACGUACCUGGGUCACCGGCCUUCGCUACCUCAUGGCUGGCAUCAGCGAUGAAGACAGCCUAGCCCGUCGCCAGCGUACCAGGGACCAGUGGCUGAAGCAGACGUUUGAUGAGGCUGACAAGAACGGGGACGGCAGCCUGAGCAUCAGUGAGGUUCUGCAGCUGCUACAUAAACUCAACGUGAACCUGCCCCGGCAGAGGGUGAAACAGAUGUUCAGGGAGGCGGACACAGAUGACCAUCAGGGGACAUUAGGCUUUGAGGAAUUCUGCGCCUUCUACAAGAUGAUGUCUACCCGCCGAGACCUCUACCUGCUCAUGCUGACCUACAGCAACCAUAAGGACCACUUGGAUGCCUCCGACCUGCAGCGCUUUCUGGAGGUGGAGCAGAAGAUGAACGGUGUGACCCUGGAGAGCUGUCAGAACAUCAUUGAGCAGUUUGAGCCUUGCCUGGAAAAUAAGAGCAAGGGGAUGCUGGGGAUUGAUGGUAGUCGUGAGCCGAGCCCAGUGAUGGAGAUACACCACGGCGCUCCUGUGUACACCGCAGGCUUUACCAACUACACCCGGAGCCCCGCCGGUGACAUCUUCAACCCUGAGCACAACAGAGUGCACCAAGACAUGACGCAGCCGCUGAGUCACUACUUCAUCACCUCGUCCCACAACACCUACCUCGUGGGUGACCAGCUCAUGUCCCAGUCUCGGGUGGACAUGUAUGCCUGGGUCCUGCAGGCCGGCUGCCGCUGUGUGGAGGUGGACUGCUGGGACGGGCCCGAUGGAGAACCCAUUGUCCAUCAUGGCUACACUCUGACCUCCAAGAUCCUUUUCAAAGAUGUCAUCGAAACCAUCAACAAAUACGCCUUCAUCAAGAAUGAGUACCCAGUGAUCCUGUCCAUUGAGAACCACUGUAGUGUUGUUCAGCAGAAGAAGAUGGCCCAGUAUCUGACUGACAUCCUCGGGGACAAGCUGGACCUCUCCUCAGUGAGCAGCGAAGAUGCCACCAUGCUUCCAUCUCCACAGAUGCUCAAGGGCAAGAUCCUGGUGAAGGGGAAGAAGCUCCCUGCCAAUAUCAGUGAGGAUGCAGAAGAAGGCGAAGUAUCUGAUGAGGACAGUGCUGAUGAGAUGGAGGAUGACUGCAAGCUCCUCAAUGGGGAUGCCUCCACCAAUCGGAAGCGUGUGGAAAACAUUGCAAAGAAGAAGCUGGAUUCUCUGAUCAAGGAGUCAAAGAUCCGUGACUGUGAAGACCCCAAUGACUUCUCUGUGUCCACACUAUCCCCCUCUGGAAAGCUUGGGCGCAAAGCAGAGGCCAAGAAGGGUCAGAGCAAGGUUGAGGAAGACGUGGAGGCCGGGGAAGACAGCGGGGUGAGCAGGCAGAAUAGCCGCCUCUUCAUGAGCAGCUUCUCCAAGCGCAAGAAAAAAGGCAGCAAGAUAAAGAAGGUGGCCAGCGUGGAAGAGGGGGACGAGACCCUGGACUCCCCAGGAAGCCAGAGCCGAGGGACUGCCCGGCAAAAGAAGACCAUGAAGCUGUCACGAGCCCUCUCGGACCUAGUGAAAUAUACCAAGUCUGUGGGGACCCAUGACGUGGAGAUAGAGGUGGUAUCUAGCUGGCAGGUGUCGUCCUUCAGUGAGACCAAGGCCCAUCAGAUCCUGCAGCAGAAGCCCACCCAGUACCUGCGCUUCAACCAGCACCAGCUCUCGCGCAUAUACCCCUCCUCCUACCGUGUGGACUCCAGCAACUACAAUCCACAACCCUUCUGGAACGCUGGUUGCCAGAUGGUUGCCCUGAACUACCAGUCAGAGGGGCGGAUGCUACAGCUGAACAGGGCCAAGUUCAGCGCCAACGGUGACUGUGGCUACGUGCUCAAACCCCAGUGCAUGUGCCAGGGUGUCUUCAACCCCAACUCGGAGGAUCCCCUGCCGGGGCAGCUCAAGAAGCAGCUGGCCCUGAGGAUCAUCAGUGGCCAGCAGCUGCCCAAACCACGGGACUCGGUGCUGGGCGACCGUGGGGAGAUCAUCGACCCCUUCGUGGAGGUGGAGGUCAUUGGGCUCCCCGUGGACUGCAGCAAGGAGCAGACCCGAGUGGUGGACGACAACGGAUUCAACCCCAUGUGGGAGGAGACACUGGUGUUCACCGUGCACAUGCCAGAGAUUGCGCUUGUACGCUUCCUGGUCUGGGACCAUGACCCCAUUGGACGUGACUUCAUCGGCCAGAGGACACUAGCCUUCAGCAGCAUAAUGCCAGGCUACCGGCAUGUGUACCUAGAAGGGAUGGAAGAGGCCUCUAUCUUUGUUCAUGUGGCUGUCAGUGACAUUAGUGGUAAGGUCAAGCAGACUCUGGGUCUAAAAGGUCUCUUCCUCCGAGGCACAAAGCCAGGCUCGCUGGACAGUCAUGCUGCUGGACAGCCCCUCCCCCGGCCCUCCGUUAGCCAGAGGCUCCUGCGGCGCACGGCCAGUGCCCCGACCAAAAGCCAGAAGCCAAGUCGCAAGGGCUUCCCAGAGCUGGCCCUGGGCACACAGGACGCAGGCUCCGAGGGGGCAGCUGAUGACGUGGCACCCUCUAGCCCCAACCCAGCUCUGGAGGCCCCUACUCAAGAGAGGUCAGGCAGCAGCAGCCCCCGAGGUAAGGCACCAGGAGGAGAAGCAACAGAAGAGAGGACACUGGCACAGGUGCGGUCCCCAAAUGCCCCCGAAGGCCCUGGACCUGCAGGGAUGGCCGCCACAUGCAUGAAGUGUGUGGUGGGCUCCUGCGCCGGUAUGGACGUUGAGGGCCUUCAAAGGGAGCAACAACCCAGCCCUGGGCCUGCAGGCAGCCACAUGGCCAUCAGCCAUCAGCCCAGGGCCCGGGUAGAUUCACUGGGGGGCCCUUGCUGCAGCCCAAGUCCUCGAGCCACCCCAGGGAGAAGCAAAGAGGCCCCCAAGGGUCCUAGGGCUCGGCGCCAGGGUCCAGGCGGCGGCUCUGUGUCCUCGGACUCCAGCAGCCCAGACAGCCCAGGCAGCCCCAAGGUGGCCCCCUGCCAGCCGGAGGGUGCUCACAGGCAGCAGGGGGCGCUGCAGGGAGAGAUGAACGCCUUGUUCGUUCAAAAGCUGGAGGAGAUCAGGAGUCAUUCCCCCAUGUUCUCCACCGGUAAGGCCUGCCGUUCCGCUGCAUCCCAUGCUCUCUACACCUGGCAUGCCUAGGCGGUCCGUGCCUGCCUGCCGCUCUCUGCUUCAUUUGUCCGUCAGCUUAGCUGUGGCCUGUCUGCCUCAGAUCCCCACCCCUGCCCUAAUGGCCCUGUACUUUGUGGGGGCGGGGGUGGGGGAAGAGGGCUGCUCGAGUCAUCAAGGCAUUUCUGAGAGCUGCUUGCUGAGGAACCCAGGGAUAUCCAGCCAGCCCUCAGCAAGGGCUUCCCUGGUGCCUGCUGGCUGCCCUGACUGGCUGCUCUGAUGGCCUACCUUCCUAGGUCUGAAAAGAUCCCAGCUCUUAGCCCUGCCUCCCCCCACCCCCACCCCCAAGGGUCAGAUGCAAGAAUGACUCUGCCUUUCGGUCCUAUGGGAGCCUGCUGUCAAUUGGUGGUGGUACCUCAGGGUAUCCCCUCUUGGAGACUCCUCAGAGACCAGGGGAGAAGGUGCUUAGAACUGAGGUCUGGGCCUCAGAGCUUAGGGGGAGCAGCUUCCAGGGACCUGCAUUGUCCAAAUGUCACUAAGCCUUUUUGUGACCCUCCUUCCUGGCUGACACUUCCUGACCUUGGAGUGUGAGGGAACUGGUCUGAGCUGGUUACUGAGCUCUAGCCUGGGCAGAGGGAGGUCCCUGGAGUCUGCCUGCUUCCAUUGUAUUCCCCCCGACCCCCGCUCCUGCCCAGCAUUGUUGUCCAUCUGUCCAUCUGCCAGUGCCCCACCACCACCACCACCACCACCAAUACACUGACUGUGUUCUCCUUUCUGUCCCUGCUCCGUGCUGCUUCCAUAGUUAGGGAUUGAGACCUGCGAGUGCCAGAUACUCGCCUCUUCCCCCUGCAGCGGCCCAUCUCCCCCCUGUGCAGCCUGGAACCCAUUGCCGAGGAACCAGCCCUGGGCCCUGGCCUCCCGUUACAGGCAGCUGCCCCCACAGGUCCAUCUCAGGAAGGGUCCCAGUGCCCUGUAGGCCUGGGAGCCAAAGUGACCAGCUCCCAGCAGACAUCUCUGGGAGCUUUUGGAACCCUCCAGCUCAGGAUUGGGGGCGGUAGGGAAAACGAAGAGCCACCCCUCAGGCCACACAAUGGUGGGAUCUCCAGCGGGCCACGUGAGGGGACUUCUGGAAGACAGACAGACAGCAAGAGCCGCUCCCGGGUCCCGGGCCACUUGCCAGUGGUUAGGAGGGCCAAGAGUGAGGGCCAGGUGCUCUCGGAGCUCUCUCCCACACCUGCAGUGUACUCGGAUGCCACGGGCACUGACAGGUUAUGGCAGCGGCUGGAGCCUGGGAGCCACAGGGACAGUGUCUCCUCAUCCUCCAGCAUGUCCUCCAACGACACCGUCAUAGACCUAUCACUGCCCAGCCUCGGCCUCUGCCGCAGCCGAGAGAGCAUUCCAGGGGUCUCUCUUGGACGCCUAACCUCACGGCCCUGCUUAGCCUCAGCUGCCCGUCCUGACCUGCCUCCUGUGACCAAGAGCAAAUCGAACCCCAACCUGCGGGUUGCGGGUGGGCUGCCUACUGCACCCGACGAGCUGCAGCCCCGGCCUCUUGCCCCGCGGCUGACCGGCCACCAUCCACGGCCACCGUGGCAUCACCUCACCCUGGUGGGCCUGCGGGACUGCCCAGUGUCUGCUAAGUCCAAGAGUCUGGGAGACCUGACAGCUGACGACUUUGCUCCCAGCUUUCAGGGCAGCACCAGCAGCCUGAGCUGCGGCCUAGGCUCCCUGGGUGUGGCGCAUCAGGUGCUGGAGCCGGGAAUACGGCGAGAUGCUCUCACGGAGCAGCUACGCUGGCUCACCGGCUUCCAGCAGGCUGGGGACAUCACGUCGCCCACCAGCUUGGGCCCAGCUGGGGACGGGUCUGUAGGGGGCCCCAGCUUCCUGAGGCGUUCCUCCUCUCGGAGCCAGAGCCGCGUGCGCGCUAUUGCCAGCCGAGCCCGCCAAGCGCAGGAGCGCCAGCAGAGGCUGAGAGGCCAGGACUCACGGGGUCCCCCAGAGGAGGAGCGGGGCACCCCUGAGGGUGCCUGUUCUGUAGGCCAUGAGGGCUGUGUGGAUGUGCCAAUGCCUGCCAAGGGAGCCCCUGAGCAGGUGUGUGGUGCUGCUGAUGGCCAGCUGCUGCUCAGGCUCUGACCCUGCCUGAUGAUUCCAACUCUGUACCUUCCCUGAGACUGCCUGCAGGGGGGAGGGGGUGGGGGCUGGCCUCAACCCGACCUUUGCUCAGGAAAUGAAGCCACUGGGUCCCCAAAGCUGUUACGCCCAUUCUUCUGUCUGUGGAAGACCCAGUAGCCUCCCCUUCAACCUUAGCUGUCCUCUUGUCUCUGAUCUUGGGAAGCAAGAAACAGCAUUGUCCACCUGUCCUUCUGGGUGGUUCCCACGUUUUAAGAUACAUAAAUAGAUAUUUAACUUUUUAGAACCAAAACUUACAGUCAAAUGGCUCUGCGUCCUUCCCCACUGGUCUGCCUGGUGUCUGGCCCUGUGGUGUGUGCUGAGUGUUUUCUUCUACCUGCUGUGUGCUUGUAUCCCGGAAUGCCUGUGACACACCCACAACUGCUAGGAUGUUUGUCCCUGUCCCCUACUCCACUGUGCACCGGGCUUGUUUUGAACAAACCACACAGCAAUUGUGUAAAUUUGGGAACACAACUCCAAUAAACGCAUCAGGCCUGUUC